AACGAACGCUGGCGGCAGGCUUAACACAUGCAAGUCGAACGCCCCGCAAGGGGAGUGGCAGACGGGUGAGUAACGCGUGGGAACAUACCCUUUUCUACGGAAUAGCUCUGGGAAACUGGAAUUAAUACCGUAUACGCCCUACGGGGGUAAGAUUUAUCGGGGAAGGAUUGGCCCGCGUUGGAUUAGCUAGUUGGUGGGGUUAAGGCCUACCAAGGCGACGAUACAUAGCUGGUCUGAGAGGAUGAUCAGACACAUUGGGAGUGAGACACGGACCAAAAUCCUACAGGAGGCAGGAGAGGGGAAUAAUGGAAAAUGGGAGGAAGGAUGAACCAGACAGGACGCGAGAGUGAUGAAGGCCGUAGGGAAGUAAAGCUCUUUCACCGAUGAAGAUAAUGACGGUAGUCGGAGAAGAAGCCCCGGCUAACUUCGUG
rnacentral:rRNA from 1 species